GAUGCCGGAUUUGCCGGCACCACGGGUGCGGCCGCCCUGCUGCGCCCGUGCCGUUGGGGCAGAGAGGAAGCGGCUAUUUCUACGCUCAGUGCUCAGAACCGUGGGCACUAAGAAUGGUUUGUAGCCGAACAUCA
ensembl:snoRNA